AAGUAUGAAGCAAAACUUUGCAGUUAGUUUCGACCUAACCCUUAGAUAUAAAUAUCCUUACUU
rnacentral:tRNA from 1 species